GAGAAGCACGGACACUUAUUAGUCACCUACUGAAUGCCGCAGUCGGUGCCUUACCGGAUCACAUUUCCCUUCUCCCCACACUCUCGGACCUACCUGUUCUGCUGAUCAUCUGCCUCCUCUUCCAAAAGGAUGUUUCUGGCAGGUUUGUUGGUGACCAGGCAGAAUGAAAACCACCCACAUAUCCAUCAGUAAGGGAUGAGGAAACCAGCCGCGGUGAUGUGGAAUACUAUGCAACUGUGUGGAAUACUAUGAAAAGAUCAGCCAGACCUCUGGGCCCGCGGCAGCCGCAAGAGGGAAGCACAAGGCACUGGGCGCCCCGCCAGGAAACAGAUCAUUCACAUCUCCAGGGCUGGGCUGCCCGGGCCAGCAGCCAGGACUCACGGCAACCAGGUGGGAAACCGAGGCAGGGACCAUCUGGAGGGCUUCAACAAUGCCUGCCACUGGAGCAAAGCACAAGGACCCUGGAGAGCUGGGAGCUCAGGGCUUCCCAAGGAAGCUGGGUCCCAUCCCCAUCCUCGGUUUCCUCAUCUGCCCGUGGGAAGAAUUCCUUAUGCACAGCUGGCCGCCGGGGUGCCCACCCUGUAAUCCCAGUGACUCAG